AGAACGAACGCUGGCGGCAGGCCUAACACAUGCAAGUCGAACGCUCUCGCAAGAGAGAGUGGCGCACGGGUGCGUAACGCGUGGGAACGUACCUCUAGGUGCGGAACAACCCAGGGAAACUUGGGCUAAUACCGCAUAAUAUCUUCGGAUCAAAGAUUUAUCGCCUAGAGAUCGGCCCGCGUUAGAUUAGCUAGUUGGUGAGGUAAUGGCUCACCAAGGCUACGAUCUAUAGCUGGUCUGAGAGGAUGAUCAGCCACACUGGAACUGAGACACGGUCCAGACUCCUACGGGAGGCAGCAGUGAGGAAUAUUGGACAAUGGGGGAAACCCUGAUCCAGCCAUGCCGCGUGAGUGAUGAAGGCCUUCGGGUUGUAAAACUCUUUUAGAUGUGACGAUGAUGACGGUAACAUCAGAAAAAGCUACCGGCUAACUUCGUGCCAACAGCCGC
rnacentral:rRNA from 1 species